rnacentral:rRNA from 1 species
UGGGGAAUAUUGCACAAUGGGCGCAAGCCUGAUGCAGCCAUGCCGCGUGUAUGAAGAAGGCCUUCGGGUUGUAAAGUACUUUCAGCGGGGAGGAAGGGAGUAAAGUUAAUACCUUUGCUCAUUGACGUUACCCGCAGAAGAAGCACCGGCUAACUCCGUGCCAGCAGCCGCGGUAAUACGGAGGGUGCAAGCGUUAAUCGGAAUUACUGGGCGUAAAGCGCACGCAGGCGGUUAGUUAAGUAAGAUGUGAAAUCCCCGGGCUCAACCUGGGAACUGCAUCUGAUACUGGCAAGCUUGAGUCUCGUAGAGGGGGGUAGAAUUCCAGGUGUAGCGGUGAAAUGCGUAGAGAUCUGGGGGAAUACCGGUGGCAAAGGCAGCCCCCUGGACGAAGACUGACGCUCAAGUGCGAAAGCGUGGGGAGCAAACAGG